rnacentral:rRNA from 1 species
UCUGGCUCAGAUUGAACGCUGGCGGCAGGCUUAACACAUGCAAGUCGAGCGGAAACGACAACAUUGACUCUUCGGAGGAUUUGUUGGGCGUCGAGCGGCGGACGGGUGAGUAAUGCCUGGGAAUAUGCCUUAGUGUGGGGGAUAACUUUUGGAAACGAUAGCUAAUACCGCAUAACGUCUUCGGACCAAAGAGGGGGACCUUCGGGCCUCUCGCGCUAAGAUUAGCCCAGGUGGGAUUAGCUAGUUGGUGAGGUAAGGGCUCACCAAGGCGACGAUCCCUAGCUGGUCUGAGAGGAUGAUCAGCCACACUGGAACUGAGACACGGUCCAGACUCCUACGGGAGGCAGCAGUGGGGAAUAUUGCACAAUGGGCGCAAGCCUGAUGCAGCCAUGCCGCGUGUAUGAAGAAGGCCUUCGGGUUGUAAAGUACUUUCAGCAGUGAGGAAGGUGGUGUACUUAAUACGUGCAUCAUUUGACGUUAGCUGCAGAAGAAGCACCGGCUAACUCCGUGCCAGCAGCCGCGGUAAUACGGAGGGUGCGAGCGUUAAUCGGAAUUACUGGGCGUAAAGCGCAUGCAGGUGGUUUGUUAAGUCAGAUGCGAAAGCCCGAGGCUCAACCUCGGAAGGUCAUUUGAAACUGGCAAACUAGAGUACUGUAGAGGGGGGUAGAAUUUCAGGUGUAGCGGUGAAAUGCGUAGAGAUCUGAAGGAAUACCAGUGGCGAAGGCGGCCCCCUGGACAGAUAUUGACACUCAGAUGCGAAAGCGUGGGGAGCAAACAGGAUUAGAUACCCUGGUAGUCCACGCCGUAAACGAUGUCUACUUGGAGGUUGUGGCCUUGAGCCGUGGCUUUCGGAGCUAACGCGUUAAGUAGACCGCCUGGGGAGUACGGUCGCAAGAUUAAAACUCAAAUGAAUUGACGGGGGCCCGCACAAGCGGUGGAGCAUGUGGUUUAAUUCGAUGCAACGCGAAGAACCUUACCUACUCUUGACAUCUACAGAAUCCAGCGGAGACGCAGGAGUGCCUUCGGGAACUGUAAGACAGGUGCUGCAUGGCUGUCAUCAGCUCGUGUUGUGAAAUGUUGGGUUAAGUCCCGCAACGAGCGCAACCCUUAUCCUUGAUUGCCAGCACGUAAUGGUGGGAACUUCAGGGAGACUGCCGGUGAUAAACCGGAGGAAGGAGGGGACGACGUCAAGUCAUCAUGGCCCUUACGAGUAGGGCUACACACGUGCUACAAUGGCGCAUACAAAGGGUUGCGAAGCCGCGAGGUCGAGCCAAUCCCAAAAAGUGCGUCGUAGUCCGGAUUGGAGUCUGCAACUCGACUCCAUGAAGUCGGAAUCGCUAGUAAUCGUAGAUCAGAAUGCUACGGUGAAUACGUUCCCGGGCCUUGUACACACCGCCCAUCACACCAUGGGAGUGGGCUGCACCAGAAGUAGAUAGCUUAACCCUGGGGAGGGCGUUUACCACGGUGUGGUUCAUGACUGGGGUGAAGUCGUAACAAGUUAGCCGUAGGGGAACCUGCGGCUGGAUCACCUCCUUA